rnacentral:rRNA from 1 species
AGAGUUUGAUCAUGGCUCAGGAUGAACGCUAGCGGCAGGCCUAAUACAUGCAAGUCGAGGGGCAGCAACACUUCGGUGGUUGGCGACCGGCGGACGGGUGCGUAACGCGUAUGGAACUUGUCCGGAUCACAGGGAUAGCCCCCGGAAACGGGGAUUAAUAUCUGAUGGCGCGUUUUGGUGGCAUCGCCGAAACGCUAAAGCUCAGGCGGAUCCGGGUGGCCAUGCGUUCGAUUAGCUAGUUGGCGGGGUAACGGCCCACCAAGGCGACGAUCGAUAGGGGUCCUGAGAGGGAGGUCCCCCACACUGGUACUGAGACACGGGCCAGACUCCUACGGGAGGCAGCAGUAGGGAAUAUUGGGCAAUGGGCGCAAGCCUGACCCAGCCAUGCCGCGUGCAGGAGGAAGGCCCUCUGGGUUGUAAACUGCUUUUGGGAGGGGACAAAAUACCGGUGCGCCGGGGAUUGAGUGUACCUCCAGAAUAAGCACCGGCUAACUCCGUGCCAGCAGCCGCGGUAAUACGGAGGGUGCAAGCGUUGUCCGGAUUUAUUGGGUUUAAAGGGUGCGUAGGCGGCCCCAUAAGUCUGCGGUGAAGCCCACGGGCUCAACCCGUGGCGUGCCGACGAUACUGUGGGGCUUGGGUCGUCUCUGGGCGGGCGGAAUGGAAAGGUGUAGCGGUGAAAUGCAUAGAUAUCUACCAGAACGCCGAUAGCGAAGGCAGCUCGCUGGGGACGUACCGACGCUGAGGCACGAUAGCGUGGGGAUCAAACAGGAUUAGAUACCCUGGUAGUCC